UGGGGAAUUUUGGACAAUGGGCGAAAGCCUGAUCCAGCAAUGCCGCGUGUGUGAAGAAGGCCUUCGGGUUGUAAAGCACUUUGUCCGGAAAGAAAUCCUUGGCUCUAAUACAGUCGGGGGAUGACGGUACCGGAAGAAUAAGCACCGGCUAACUACGUGCCAGCAGCCGCGGUAAUACGUAGGGUGCAAGCGUUAAUCGGAAUUACUGGGCGUAAAGCGUGCGCAGGCGGUUUGCUAAGACCGAUGCGAAAUCCCCGGGCUCAACCUGGGAACUGCAUUGGUGACUGGCAGGCUAGAGUAUGGCAGAGGGGGUAGAAUUCCACGUGUAGCAGUGAAAUGCGUAGAGAUGUGGAGGAAUACCGAUGGCGAAGGCAGCCCCUGGGCCAAUACUGACGCUCAUGCACGAAAGCGUGGGGAGCAAACAGGAUUCAGAUACCCUGGUAGUCCACGCCCUAAACGAUGUCAACUAGUUGUUGGGGGAUUCAUUUCCUUAGUAACGUAGCUAAACGCAGUGAAGUUGACCGCCUGGGGAGUACGGU
rnacentral:rRNA from 1 species